rnacentral:misc_RNA from 1 species
GAUGAAGAACGCAGCGAACGUGCGAAACGUAAUGUGAAUUGCAGAAUUCAGUGAAUCAUCGAAUCUUUGAACGCAUCUUGCGCUCCUUGGUAUCCCGAGGAGCAUGCCUGUUUGAGUGUCGUGAAUACUCUCAACUUCAACCCUUUUUUCGGAAAGGGAGGAAGGUUGGACUUGGGUGUUUGUUGAAGUGCGAGCUUCGACUCAUCCUAAAUGCAUUAGCGAUCUGCCUCGAUCACACACAAUGUGAUAAUUAAAACUAAAGCAUUGUUUAAUGAUCAAGUCGAGACUGCUUCUAACUGUCGCAAGACAAUAACGUGCAUACAUUUGUGCAUGUCAUUUGACCUCAAAUCAGGUAGGACUACCCGCUGAACUUAAGCAUAUCAAUAAGCGGAGGA